rnacentral:rRNA from 2 species
AAAUUGAAGAGUUUGAUCAUGGCUCAGAUUGAACGCUGGCGGCAGGCCUAACACAUGCAAGUCGAACGGUAACAGGAAGCAGCUUGCUGCUUCGCUGACGAGUGGCGGACGGGUGAGUAAUGUCUGGGAAACUGCCUGAUGGAGGGGGAUAACUACUGGAAACGGUAGCUAAUACCGCAUAAUGUCGCAAGACCAAAGAGGGGGACCUUCGGGCCUCUUGCCAUCGGAUGUGCCCAGAUGGGAUUAGCUAGUAGGUGGGGUAACGGCUCACCUAGGCGACGAUCCCUAGCUGGUCUGAGAGGAUGACCAGCCACACUGGAACUGAGACACGGUCCAGACUCCUACGGGAGGCAGCAGUGGGGAAUAUUGCACAAUGGGCGCAAGCCUGAUGCAGCCAUGCCGCGUGUAUGAAGAAGGCCUUCGGGUUGUAAAGUACUUUCAGCGGGGAGGAAGGCGGUGAGGUUAAUAACCUCAUCGAUUGACGUUACCCGCAGAAGAAGCACCGGCUAACUCCGUGCCAGCAGCCGCGGUAAUACGGAGGGUGCAAGCGUUAAUCGGAAUUACUGGGCGUAAAGCGCACGCAGGCGGUCUGUCAAGUCGGAUGUGAAAUCCCCGGGCUCAACCUGGGAACUGCAUUCGAAACUGGCAGGCUAGAGUCUUGUAGAGGGGGGUAGAAUUCCAGGUGUAGCGGUGAAAUGCGUAGAGAUCUGGAGGAAUACCGGUGGCGAAGGCGGCCCCCUGGACAAAGACUGACGCUCAGGUGCGAAAGCGUGGGGAGCAAACAGGAUUAGAUACCCUGGUAGUCCACGCCGUAAACGAUGUCGACUUGGAGGUUGUGCCCUUGAGGCGUGGCUUCCGGAGCUAACGCGUUAAGUCGACCGCCUGGGGAGUACGGCCGCAAGGUUAAAACUCAAAUGAAUUGACGGGGGCCCGCACAAGCGGUGGAGCAUGUGGUUUAAUUCGAUGCAACGCGAAGAACCUUACCUACUCUUGACAUCCAGAGAACUUUCCAGAGAUGGAUUGGUGCCUUCGGGAACUCUGAGACAGGUGCUGCAUGGCUGUCGUCAGCUCGUGUUGUGAAAUGUUGGGUUAAGUCCCGCAACGAGCGCAACCCUUAUCCUUUGUUGCCAGCGGUCCGGCCGGGAACUCAAAGGAGACUGCCAGUGAUAAACUGGAGGAAGGUGGGGAUGACGUCAAGUCAUCAUGGCCCUUACGAGUAGGGCUACACACGUGCUACAAUGGCGCAUACAAAGAGAAGCGACCUCGCGAGAGCAAGCGGACCUCAUAAAGUGCGUCGUAGUCCGGAUUGGAGUCUGCAACUCGACUCCAUGAAGUCGGAAUCGCUAGUAAUCGUGGAUCAGAAUGCCACGGUGAAUACGUUCCCGGGCCUUGUACACACCGCCCGUCACACCAUGGGAGUGGGUUGCAAAAGAAGUAGGUAGCUUAACCUUCGGGAGGGCGCUUACCACUUUGUGAUUCAUGACUGGGGUGAAGUCGUAACAAGGUAACCGUAGGGGAACCUGCGGUUGGAUCACCUCCUUA